UACGAAGGGAGCUAGCGUUACUCGGAAUCACUGGGCGUAAAGCGCAUGUAGGCGGAAUUACAAGUCAGAGGUGAAAUCCCAAGGCUCAACCUUGGAAUUGCCUUUGAAACUGUUUUUCUUGAGUAUAACAGAGGAUGGUGGAAUUUCCAGUGUAGAGGUGAAAUUCGUAGAUAUUGGAAGGAACAUCGGUGGCGAAGGCGACCAUCUGGGUUAUUACUGACGCUGAGAUGCGAAAGCGUGGGGAGCAAACGGG
rnacentral:rRNA from 1 species